ACCAGCACCAGGCACAUUAUUUACCUGUUCCAGGAGUGCAAGCAAUUUUGUAUUAUAUGUAUAAUAUAAUAUGUAUAAUAUAAUACAAAAUUGCUUGCACUCCUGGAAAAGGUAAAUAAUGUGCCCGGUGCUGGU